AGCUGGAAAUUUUUUUUUAUUUUUAUUUUUUAUCACUAAACUACUGUCAUAAAAAGUUAUAGUUUUGUAUAUACAUAACUCCUGAAUAAAAAUUAACAUGGGUUUUGACUGAUUAAAAAAAACCAAAUUUGAUUGGUUUGUCGAUAGUGAGCGCAAAUGAUAAGCGGUUUUAUUAAGCGAGUCAUUGAGUCGUUCAUUCAAACGAUUCGUUCAAACGGCCGAUUCAUCAAGAAUGAGACAGAUGUUUGUGAAUGGGUCAUUGAAUCUUUGACUCAAACAAUUUGUUCAAAACACUGAAUCAUUCAAAACACGAUUGAGUGUUGCUGUGAGAUGCGCUAUGUUGUGAUCUUUGUUUGGAUUCAUCGGAUCUAUUUUUGCUGCUAAAAUAGACCAAAACAGUCAUUAUUUCAUCUAAAAUGUAAGUGACUUAAUAUUAUUAACUUGUUUGUUGAACUGUCAUAUCAGUGUCACAUUUUCAAUCGCGAGGUGAUGGUAAAUUAAGUGAUGGUCAAUUGUCAGCUCUCUUGGUCGUCAGGUCGUGUGAUAUAAACUCUUAGAAGAGAAUGGACCUUUAGAGUUAAAAAAAUAACCUUUAAGUGCAAAAAUGAACUUCUAGCUAUCAAAAAGGUUCAAAGUUGAACUUAAAGGUUCUAUAAUGAUCCACUCGUUAUUUGGCAGUUAUUUUAAGAACCUCUGUUGUGGUAAAGGGUUCAUAUUAGAACCUAGCAUAUUUGAACCAUGAACCAUGAACCAUGAACCUUUUCUAAGAUAUAACGUACUGUAAAGACUAGACAGAGUACAGUUAGAACACGAUUUGCUUAACUGUUACAUUAGUAAAUUAUUAAUUUACACACUCAGUAUUAAUUAAUUUUCUCUUAUUUAGUUACUAAUUGUGAUGUCAGAUGCAGUUGUGGCAACAUUGUUGAUACAAUGUGUUUCGUCUGUACACAUGACCACCUCACAUAUCUCUAAAUUGCACAAUAAUCUUUAGUGCACCAUAUUGUUGUCAAUUUUUAGAACACAAAUUAAAUAUCACAAAAAAAAAACAAAGUUCAGUUUUAUGUUCAUAAAUGAACCAGAAGCUAUUCUGUGUUAAAUGGAGAGGGUGAAGUGAAAUUCUUACUCCUAAAAAUAAACUUUAUGUUCAAUAGGCUAUCUUCAUAUUUUACAGCCGUACAUCCUUUAAAUUUUCCCCAUACCACAUUCAGCCUUGAAAUCUCAGAUAGCCUAUUCAGCUCAGAACAUGACAAGUGACAAAAGCGGAUUAUUUUAAAUGAAUGUGGUUGCAAAACACCUUUUAGACAUGAUCAGGUUGGGCACAUGUUUAUAUUAUUGAGGAACACCAUUAUGUCAUUCUGUAACACUCCUUCGUAUCUGAAGCAUAUUUAAGGUUUCGUCAGCAAGAUUAUUUUUCUUUCUUUCUACCUAUCUUUCUUUCUUAUUAGUAAUUGUUUAAUUAUUAUUAUUAUCAUCAUCAUUAUUAUUAUUUUUACUAUUAUUAUUAUUAUAUUGUUUCGAUUUUGAGAAUAAAAACAAUGAAGAACUGAACCUGGACGACAACAGGACGCUAUUAUCAUCAAUCCUCAAAAGAGACACCGUUGUCCCUAUCAAGAUACUGAAAUUGAUGGAGACACUUUAAUGAAACUAACCAAAAAUGAAGGAUUCAGUUAAAUUUAUAAGAUUACAAGAAAACCUAAAGACUGAGAUGCCAGCAAGACCACAGACACCACGAGUAUGCAGAUGGUGAACACAACAAGUUGUCUUCAGCCCUUAUUACCAAAUACCAGUUCUUGAGAGAAAAGACUGGCAGAGGAUGUGCUUAAAAACAAAUUCAAAAAAGAAAGAUCACCUUUGAUUAAUGUUGAAGAAAAAAUGA